UACGAAGGGGGCUAGCGUUGUUCGGAUUUACUGGGCGUAAAGCGCACGUAGGCGGAUCGUUAAGUCGGGGGUGAAAUCCUGGAGCUCAACUCCAGAACUGCCUUCGAUACUGGCGAUCUUGAGUCCGGAAGAGGUGAGUGGAACUCCUAGUGUAGAGGUGGAAUUCGUAGAUAUUAGGAAGAACACCCGUGGCUAAGGCGGCUCUCUAGUACGGUACUGACGCUGAGGCGCGAAAGCUAGGGGAGCGAACGAG
rnacentral:rRNA from 1 species